rnacentral:rRNA from 1 species
UAUGUGAUCGUCUCUCGCAUAUCAAUAAGCGGAGGAAAAGAAACUAACAAGGAUUCCCCUAGUAACGGCGAGUGAAGCGGGAAGAGCUCAAAUUUGAAAUCUUAAAGGGUUUCCCUUUACGAAUUGUAGUUUAAAGAAGUGUUUUCUGUUGAGGUUUUGGUAAAAGUUCUUUGGAAUAGGACAUCAUAGAGGGUGAGAAUCCCGUAUUUGACCUUUACUUUCAACUUUGUGAUACACUUUCUAAGAGUCGGAUUGUUUGGGAAUGCAGUCCAAAAUGGGUGGUAAAUUUCAUCUAAAGCUAAAUAUUGGCGAGAGACCGAUAGCGAACAAGUACCGUGAGGGAAAGAUGAAAGAACUUUGAAAAGAGAGUUAAACAGUACGUGAAAUUGUCAAAAGGGAAGCGUUUGACACCAGUGUUGUUUUUCUGAAAAUCAAUUAAAGAACUGUUUAUGCUAAGCUGUUUAGACUUUAUCAGCUAUCUGUUUAGUUUUGAGCUUUUCUUUAAUGCACUUUUCAGUUAACAAGUCAACAUCAAUUUCUUUUGCUGUAAAAAAGCUUGAGGAAGGUGGCUUGAGAUUCGUCUUAAGUGUUUAUAGCCUCUUGCCUAUGCAGUCGGAGAGAUUGAGGUCUGCAGCGUAGAUCCUUCGGGGCUAAAUGCAUUUGUGCUAAGUUAUAGCAUUUUAUAGACAACUUGUUGACUAUGAUUUGUCUUGUAGCUUACUCGCUUAUGUUAUUUUACCUACGCUUAGGAUGUUGAUCUACAGAGCGAGAGU